AUCCAGCCGAUGAAUUCCAAAUGGGGCGAAACGCGUGUUCUGGAU
rnacentral:hammerhead_ribozyme from 1 species